rnacentral:rRNA from 1 species
UACGUAGGGUGCAAGCGUUGUCCGGAAUUAUUGGGCGUAAAGAGUUCGUAGGCGGUUUGUCGCGUCCGUUGUGAAAGCUUGGGGCUCAACCCCAAGUCUGCAGUGGAUACGGGCAGGCUAGAGUCAGGUAGGGGAGAACGGAAUUCCUGGUGUAGCGGUGAAAUGCGCAGAUAUCAGGAAGAACACCCGUGGCGAAAGCGGCUCUCUGGAACGGUACUGACGCUGAGACGCGAAAGCGUGGGGAGCGAACAGG